rnacentral:rRNA from 1 species
GUGCCAGCAGCCGCGGUAAGACGAAGGAUGCAAGCGUUAUCCGGAUUCAUUGGGUUUAAAGGGAGCGUAGGUGGACUGAUAAGUCAGUGGUGAAAUCUUUGGGCUUAACCCAAAAAUUGCCAUUGAUACUGUUGGUCUUGAGUAUAGUUGCCGUUGGCGGAAUAUGACAUGUAGUGGUGAAAUACAUAGAGAUGUCAUAGAACACCGAUUGCGAAGGCAGCUGACGAAACUAUAACUGACACUGAGGCUCGAAAGUGUGGGGAUCAAACAGGAUUAGAUACCCCUGUAGUCC